rnacentral:rRNA from 1 species
GGAAUUUUCCGCAAUGGGCGAAAGCCUGACGGAGCAACGCCGCGUGAGGGAUGAAGGCCUCUGGGCUGUAAACCUCUUUUAUCAAGGAAGAAGAUCUGACGGUACUUGAUGAAUAAGCCACGGCUAAUUCCGUGCCAGCAGCCGCGGUAAUACGGGAGUGGCAAGCGUUAUCCGGAAUUAUUGGGCGUAAAGCGUCCGCAGGCGGUCUGUCAAGUCUGCUGUUAAAGCGUGGAGCUUAACUCCAUUUCGGCAGUGGAAACUGACAGACUAGAGUGUGGUAGGGGCAGAGGGAAUUCCCGGUGUAGCGGUGAAAUGCGUAGAUAUCGGGAAGAACACCAGUGGCGAGGGCGCUCUGCUGGGCCAUAACUGACGCUCAUGGACGAAAGCCAGGGGAGCGAAAGGGAUUAGAUACCCCUGUAGUCCUGGCCGUAAACGAUGAACACUAGGUGUCGGGGGAAUCGACCCCCUCGGUGUCGUAGCCAACGCGUUAAGUGUUCCGCCUGGGGAGUACGCACGCAAGUGUGAAACUCAAAGGAAUUGACGGA